CCUACGGGAGGCAGCAGUGAGGAAUUUUCUGCAAUGGGCGAAAGCCUGACAGAGCAAUACCGCGUGAGGGAUGAAGACUCACUGAGUUGUAAACCUCAGUGCCUUAAAGAAGAAUACAAUGACGGUAUUUAAGGUAAAGCAUCGGCUAACUCCGUGCCAGCAGCCGCGGUAAGACGGGGGAUGCAAGUGUUAUCCGGAAUUACUGGGCGUAAAGCGUCUGUAGGUGGUUUUUUAAGUCUACUGUUAAAUCUUGAGGCUUAACCUCAAAUCUGCAGUAGAAACUAAGAGACUAGAGUUUAGGAGGGGUAGAGGGAAUUUCCAGUGGAGCGGUGAAAUGCGUAGAGAUUGGAAAGAACACCGAUGGCGAAGGCACUCUACUGGCCUAUAACUGACACUCAGAGACGAAAGCUAGGGGAGCAAAUGGGAUUAGAUACCCCAGUAGUCCUAGCCGUAAACGAUGGAUACUCGAUGUGGUACGUAGUACGUACCGUUACGUAGUAUCUUAGUCUACGUACGUUAAGUAUACCGUCCGUCGGGUAGGUACGUCGUCGCGAGAGUAGAACGUACGAAGGAAGUUAAGUACGGUCGUUGAGUACGUUGCCGACGGCGACGACGAGGGAGGAGG
rnacentral:rRNA from 1 species